rnacentral:rRNA from 1 species
UACGAAGGGGGCUAGCGUUGCUCGGAAUCACUGGGCGUAAAGGGUGCGUAGGCGGGUCUUUAAGUCAGAGGUGAAAGCCUGGAGCUCAACUCCAGAACUGCCUUUGAUACUGAGGAUCUCGAGUUCGGGAGAGGUGAGUGGAACUGCGAGUGUAGAGGUGAAAUUCGUAGAUAUUCGGAAGAACACCAGUGGCGAAGGCGGCUCACUGGGCUGGUAUUGACGCUGAGGUGCGAAAGCGUGGGGAGCAAACAGG